rnacentral:rRNA from 1 species
UGCCAGCAGCCGCGGUAAUACGUAGGGUGCAAGCGUUAAUCGGAAUUACUGGGCGUAAAGCGUGCGCAGGCGGUUCGGAAAGAAAGGUGUGAAAUCCCCGGGCUUAACCUGGGAACGGCACUUUUAACUACCGAGCUAGAGUGUGUCAGAGGGGGGUGGAAUUCCGCGUGUAGCAGUGAAAUGCGUAGAGAUGCGGAGGAACACCGAUGGCGAAGGCAGCCCCCUGGGACAACACUGACGCUCAUGCACGAAAGCGUGGGGAGCAAACAGGAUUAGAUACCCUGGUAGUCCACGCCCUAAACGAUGUCAACUAGCUGUUGGGCCCUUCGGGGCUUAGUAGCGCAGCUAACGCGUGAAGUUGACCGCCUGGGGAGUACGGUCGCAAGAUUAAAACUCAAAGGAAUGACGGCC